GGCAGGCUGGCGGCGUGCUAUASAUGCAAGUCGACGAACUCUGGUAUUGAUUGGYGCUUGCAUCAUGAUUUACAUUUGAGUGAGUGGCGAACUGGUGAGUAACACGUGGGAAACCUGCCCAGAAGCGGGGGAUAACACCUGGAAACAGAUGCUAAUACCGCAUAACAACUUGGACCGCAUGGUCCGAGYUUGAAAGAUGGCUUCGGCUAUCACUUUUGGAUGGUCCCGCGGCGUAUUAGCUARAUGGUGGGGUAACGGCUCACCAUGGCAAUGAUACGUAGCCGACCUGAGAGGGUAAUCGGCCACAUUGGGACUGAGACACGGCCCAAACUCCUACGGGAGGCAGCAGUAGGGAAUCUUCCACAAUGGACGAAAGUCUGAUGGAGCAACGCCGCGUGAGUGAAGAAGGGUUUCGGCUCGUAAAACUCUGUUGUUAAAGAAGAACAUAUCUGAGAGUAACUGUUCAGGUAUUGACGGUAUUUAACCAGAAAGCCACGGCUAACUACGUGCCAGCAGCCGCGGUAAUACGUAGGUGGCAAGCGUUGUCCGGAUUUAUUGGGCGUAAAGCGAGCGCAGGCGGUUUUUUAAGUCUGAUGUGAAAGCCUUCGGCUCAACCGAAGAAGUGCAUCGGAAACUGGGAAACUUGAGUGCAGAAGAGGACAGUGGAACUCCAUGUGUAGCGGUGAAAUGCGUAGAUAUAUGGAAGAACACCAGUGGCGAAGGCGGCUGUCUGGUCUGUAACUGACGCUGAGGCUCGAAAGUAUGGGUAGCAAACAGGAUUAGAUACCCUGGUAGUCCAUACCGUAAACGAUGAAUGCUAAGUGUGGGAGGGUUUCCGCCCUUUCAGUGCUGCAGCUAACGCAUUAAGCAUUCCGCCUGGGGAGUACGGCCGCAAGGCUGAACUCAAGGAUUGACGGGGCCCGCACAGCGGUGGAGCAUGKGGUUUAAUCCGAAGCUACGCGAGAGCUUUACAGGUCUGGACUUACUAUGCAAUCUAGAAGAUAGACGUUACGUCCGGACCUUGAUUACAGUGUGCAUGAUGACGUCAGCCUCGGGAGC
rnacentral:rRNA from 1 species